GACGAACGCUGGCGGCGUGCCUAAUACAUGCAAGUUGAGCGAUGAAGAUUGGUGCUUGCACCAAUUUGAAGAGCAGCGAACGGGUGAGUAACGCGUGGGGAAUCUGCCUUUGAGCGGGGGACAACAUUUGGAAACGAAUGCUAAUACCGCAUAACAACUUUAAACAUAAGUUUUAAGUUUGAAAGAUGCAAUUGCAUCACUCAAAGAUGAUCCCGCGUUGUAUUAGCUAGUUGGUGAGGUAAAGGCUCACCAAGGCGAUGAUACAUAGCCGACCUGAGAGGGUGAUCGGCCGCAUUGGGACUGAGACACGGCCCAGACUCCUACGGGAGGCAGCAGUAGGGAAUCUUCGGCAAUGGACGAAAGUCUGACCGAGCAACGCCGCGUGAGUGAAGAAGGUUUUCGGAUCGUAAAACUCUGUUGGUAGAGAAGAACGUUGGUGAGAGUGGAAAGCUCAUCAAGUGACGGUAACUACCCAGAAAGGGACGGCUAACUACGUG
rnacentral:rRNA from 1 species